AAUAUCUGGUUUCUCUUCAAAGCGAACACAUCUUUUGCCUGUUACUAAAGAUCUCCGUGGAGAGGCAGGUACCCUGGCUGUCGGGCCAGUGGUUUCCUCGCAAAUUUCGAGUGG
rnacentral:snRNA from 1 species